UUGUCGACUCGUCAUUAGCCCACGCAGGGAGGUUCCACUGUUCGAGUGUCAUAUUGCUGGCCUCUGCAGGCUUUCAAGGGCCAUCCGCCUCACUUUUCUCUCACCGUAUCCGCUUCGCCCUCGCCGUCCUCUCUUCCUCGUCUCGCCCGUUCGGAAACUGCAGCAUGUAGAUCGCCCGUCCUCCGUGCCUACCACGCGAUCCGCGCCGUCGGCGGUGGCCGGUGCUGCUCCAUGGCGGCCCUUUGUCGCGGGUUCGGUUGAGGUCGUCGCUGUGCUGGGAUUUCCGUGUCGGUUGGCCGCGGCUGCUCUUGCUGGUCUGCUGUCUGCUUGUGUUCUUGGCUAGCUGCUGCUGUGGGUUGGCUGUCGUGCGUGUCUUCCUGUCAGAUAAAUCUCUUUGCCUAUUUCAGAUCCCCGCAUGUUCAGCUAUUUUUUUGCAUUUGUUGCCUGUUCUAUUUAAUGGCAUGUUAAACCUGAUCCAUUUUUCUAGCCAGUAGUGCUUUCGUUAUUGCUCUAAAUUUUCAAUUUGGUACCCUUGUAUUUUUCAUCCAAACUUUGUGAGGUGUAAAUCAUUUCUGAACUCGAAAAGCACCGGUACGCUUGUUGUAUGCUUUUUCUCCUGCUUAGUUUUGUUCUUAUUUGGUUACAUUUCAUUGCCGAUAAGAAAAUGUCUUCUUCCUCGUGUUUGUUCUUGCUGCUGAGAAGAGAUGCUUAGUCAAUAAUAGACAUAGAAAGUGAGAUCUACCUGUUGGUUGUGCUGGGUUAAUUCUUUCGUCUAUUUCGGUUGUGGACCAUGAUGCCCGCUCGCUGCUGUUUCUCCUUGCAUUUGGUUCUUUAUGUGUAAAUGAGGUUAGUUUGAUUUUGUAUAUAUGGAUUGUCUUAGCUUUCCAUUGUAUUUGUUGUGUUGUCUUACCUUUGCUCUUGCCUGCAUGCAGUUUUUCACUUAAUGUCUGCAUUUACUGUUUGUUUCAGGAUAUCUGCUGCCGUAAUUUCUUGUCUAUCAGGCUGUGACCUCUCUGCCUGUUCUAUAUCAGUGCAUAGUUAGCUCUUUCUUACACACUCUUUAUUGUUGUUCGUGACUGUGGAUAGCAUAUUCCUAAUAAGAGUGCCCUCUGGGGUUUUCCCUAUCUUGGUGUGUGUCCCCUUCUUGCGCUUAGUUGGUUGCUUCCCACUGUCGGUUGUCAUACCAUUCCUACCUGCGUGAGGUGGGCGCUGAUGGUUCCAUCCUUGGAGCGUGGAGCUUGAGAUCGCUGCUGUCCAGGAGGGAGCCGCGCCCACCCGGUUCUUUUUUGAUCAGUUAUUUUCAUGUCGUGUUAUUUGUCGUGAUGCAAUAUUCUUUCUACUGUGUCAUAGACAUGUACUCUUUUUUCUGCAGUCCUCACUUGCUUGUGCUAUUUGAACUUCUUUAUUUCUUUCUACAUAUCUAGCUGCUUACAUUAUCUUUUGUAAAUAGGUUGGUUCUGAAGCGAUGUUUCUCCGGACAUCGCACUCUGUCUCCAAGCCUCCUGGACCUAGCGACGUAACAGUGUGCCUCUUUCACAUGUGAAGGAAGAAGGCCCUGUUCACUCAAAUAUCGCCUGGCCAUGGGUUAAAAGCUGCAGCAUAGUUUUCCCCUCAAAUUCAGACUGAAGAGGUGGGAUGUGGUUGCGAGUGAACUACUAGCUUGACAUUACCAUUACCCUGUAGGGAUUAAUGCAUUUUGCGGUGAACCUUCUUUUGAUAUUUGUUUAAGAUAGAAUAGCUGAAUUGAACAUAUUGGUUGGGGAACAUUUUACUUGGGCCCUAUGUGCUAAUAUUUGGUUGGCCUAGCUCUAUGUGCUAAUAUUCUGCUUAUCUUUGCAAUUUUUGUGUAUUCACUGUUAUACUGUAAACACUCCAGUGGCUUGACUGUU